UGGGGAAUAUUGCACAAUGGGCGAAAGCCUGAUGCAGCGAUGCCGCGUGAGGGAAGAAGGUCUUCGGAUUGUAAACCUCUGUUUUCAGGGACGAUAAUGACGGUACCUGAGGAGGAAGCUCCGGCUAACUACGUGCCAGCAGCCGCGGUAAUACGUAGGGAGCGAGCGUUGUCCGGAAUUACUGGGUGUAAAGGGAGUGUAGGCGGGAAAACAAGUCAGAUGUGAAAACUAUGGGCUCAACCUGUAGACUGCAUUUGAAACUAUUUUUCUUGAGUGAAGUAGAGGUAAGCGGAAUUCCUAGUGUAGCGGUGAAAUGCGUAGAUAUUAGGAGGAACAUCAGUGGCGAAGGCGGCUUACUGGGCUUUUACUGACGCUGAGGCUCGAAAGCGUGGGGAGCAAACA
rnacentral:rRNA from 1 species